UACACAUGAUGAGACCUGGGAUCUCAGUUUAAUGUCCAGGCCUUCGUCAAGUCCAUAACGUUCAUGACGUUCUCCAUGGCAGAGCAUCCUUCUGUCCACAAGCUGGUCAGAAACAUUGAUUCAGGUUCAACGAGAUUGAUGGGAAAAGUUCCGACAGAUUGGGAUAAUAAAUUGUUAUAUUGCUAUGUUUUUGUUGUUUUCUGAAGACUUUUGUUCAAGGGCUCACACUGCAGGCAAUAACACCAUUUGAAUCGAAGUUCAUUAUUUCAAAUAAAUACGACGUCUACAUCGUACCUCAACUGCAACCGUGCCACGGACGUAUAUCUUCUUGAUACGCGGGAGAUCCAGGGAAAACGCGCUGGGUCAAGGCCUAAUGGCAAUCGCUCAGUAGUAAUACGUGUACACCAUGUAUAAUCCUGAGAAAAACGAACACCAAGCCAAGGCAUAUAUAUGAUGGAUGCAACCAGAUGAAAUUUCAUGGAUUUUGCCCUCUACCCUUAUGUACCUGUAUAUAUAUAUAUAUACCCAUCCGUGGGGUAGCUACAACUAUCCAAGCAUUUAGCAACAAACUCUUCCAAAUUAAGCUAGGUAGCUGAAGAGAAGACAGGCAGACACGAAGGCCUCCAGUACUGAGCAUGGCGGCGAAGGGGACAAGUAGGCCUAUGCCUCAAAUGCCAGGGUCUUCCGGCCAGUAUGAUGAUCGACGUCCAUAUGCUCCGGCGGAAGCUGGCCAAAAGGCGCCGUCGCCUAGUACAGGUAGUAAAGGGUUGUCGACCGGAACAACCCCUGACGCCAGCAACGGCAACAAGUCUUACGGAUCGAGAACGCCAUACAAAGCAGAUGAGGGUAGAACAACCUGACAAAAA